UAGGGAAUCUUCCACAAUGGGCGAAAGCCUGAUGGAGCAACGCCGCGUGUGUGAUGAAGGGUUUCGGCUCGAAAACACUGUUGUAAGAGAAGAAUGACAUUGAGAGUAACUGUUCAAUGUGUGACGGUAUCUUACCAGAAAGGAACGGCUAAAUACGUGCCAG
rnacentral:rRNA from 1 species